AUAAGGUCGCCAGAAAUGCGAUUGCAUGCGAGGAAAAGCGUCGUCAGAUUUUUGCAGUCAUUCAGCGAAGCUGGAAGAGAACCAUUGAGCCGGUUGUUGGAGAGAUCCAGCAACAGCCGUUCUAGCUUUGGACAUGUCAAGAGCUUUGGUGGGAUUUCGCCUUGGAGAUUAUUGUCGUGCAAGUAUACUCUCUCCAGAAAGCCAUUGACGCACAGAUCCUCGGGAAUAGUCCCUGUGAACCGGUUGCUGGACAGGUAUAAAACUAGUUCUGGAGCCGGGGCAGCGUUGCCACGCUUGGAUGUACAUUGCCUGCUAAGUUGUUAAACGACAGCGCCAGUCGUCUAAGCUGUCCAAGCUCAACUGGCACAUUUCCUUCGAGGUAAUUUCCAGAAACAUCCAGCUCUUUCAACCUUCGACAGCUUCCCAAGCUACGAGGUUCUCGAGCAUUUCCAUGUGCCUGGGAAUUUCACCAGACAGCUGAUUGCUGGAAAGGCUUAGCAUCGUCAGCUCGGUGAGUUUCAAGAGCUCCACAGGUGGCCCAGCGAAGGAGAUAUCUGACCCGUCAAGAACUUGUUGUAUAGCAAGACCGCUGUCACUGUGACGCCAUCGUCGCGACACAACACGCCUUCCCAGGACGAGCAUGGCGAUUCUAACUUCCAGCUUGAUCUGGAGAUCGCUAGAGCGGACGCAACAUACCGAAGCAAUGGAUCCGAGAGCCAAGAACACCCGAAGAAAGAUCGUGGCGCUCAUCGCAUUCGUCUCACCCAAACUAAACUCCACUCCCCUUAGAGAUCUCUUUGCGAACCCCAUGCAAUCACUGGAUGGAUGGACACUGACGGGCAGCGUGGUUUUGAUAUCGUUUUCAAAGCUUUGUUUUAUACAUCGUGGAGAACAUGUGGUGAGAUUUUAGAAAAGAAUCUUGGGUGUUGGACUUUUGACUUUCAAAGAGUGAUCUUCCGUGAUACACCUUUGACUCUGCGCACAUUUUCCGAAAGAAAAAGAACCACAUACCAGGA